CGGCAAUUCACAAAAUAACCAUUCACUCACGUCUUCGAUUGGUACUUCUCUUCGCAUCGUUGCAAGAUCCACUUUGUUUCCCGCAACGACUAUCGGUACUUCCUGCCGCACAGUCAAAUAUGGAAACAAAUCAAUAUUAUUUUCAGUAUGGUACCUGAAAAUCUGGUCGUUGUUCUCUGACUUCUUCGAAACAUCGCUUUACGCAUUCGAAGCUUGGUAACGAUGUUGUGGCAUAAACAAGAAGAAACGCAUGUGCCGUAGCUAUGCUCAACCUUCUCAUAGCUGGAAACUGCAAAUCUCCUGAAAUCGUAUGAAAUGCGUUAUCUAUAUUGGUCCUUAUCAUUUUUAUAAUACAUAUAUACGUAUAUAUUAUAUAUAUAUUAUAUAUAUAUAAUACAUAUAUAACGUAAUGGCGAAAGAAGAGAAAACAUUUACCAGCGGUAUCCAGAAGAUCGACUUUGAGAGUGAGUGUACCGAGAACGCAUUCCCUCGAAUAGAGGUCUUCGACGGUAGGCCUAUACCUUUCGCUGAAUCCUUGCCCAAGUAAACGACGUAUAAUUGCGCUUUUCCCAACACCGGCACCACC